GGAAGAAGAUGAUAUCUAUACAAACGAUGGGACAGUGGAUUACAAAGGAAAUCCUGCUAAUAAGAAGAAAACUGGAACCUGGAGAACCUGCCCGUUUAUCAUAGGUAAUCACGGAACCUAGUAGUUGAAAUCUGUGAUUAAAGAUAUAUCAAGAUUGAUGUUUAGUUUAAGCAUUCUAUCAACAGGAAAUGAAGUCUGUGAAAGAUUGGCAUAUUAUGGGAUGAGCACCAAUCUGGUGCUUUACUUUAAGCACCAGCUAAAUCAGCAUAGCUCAGUGGCUGCUACUAAUAACCAGAACUGGGGUGGAACAUGCUACAUUACACCAAUAAUUGGAGCAUUUCUGGCUGAUUCUUAUCUAGGAAGAUAUUGGACAAUUGCCUGUUUUUCAAUCGUCUAUAUCAUUGUAAGUUUUACUUACCUGGUGCUUGUUAUUUAGUCCAGUAUUACCAAGUUCUUCGAAAAAUUUAUCUAUAUCUUGGUUUUUGAGACAAGAAAAGUUUUACCUUUUGCACAGGGAAUGACGCUUUUAGCUUUGUCUGCAUCGGUUCGCGGCAUAAGGCCUAGAUGCUAUGCAGAAGAUAACUGCAAUCCAACAGAGGUGCAAAGCGCGAUGACCUUUCUAGCGCUUUACCUGAUAGCACUAGGAACAGGUGGAAUCAAGCCUUGUGUUUCAUCAUAUGGAGCCGACCAGUUCGAUGACACAGACGAAAAGGAGAAAAAACACAAGAGUUCAUUCUUCAACUGGUUCUAUCUUUCCAUAAACAUCGGUGCUCUUAUUGCAGGCUCGGUGCUGGUUUGGGUACAAGAUAAUGUGAGCUGGGGAUGGGGUUUAGGCAUCCCAGCUAUAGCCAUGGCAAUAGCUGUCUGCUUUUUCUUUUCAGGUA
rnacentral:lncRNA from 1 species